CACGUAGGGGGCAAGCGUUGUCCGGAUUUAUUGGGCGUAAAGAGCUCGUAGGUGGCUGAGUAAGUCGGAUGUUAAAUCCCCAGGCUCAACCUGGGACACCACCCGAUACUGCUCUGGCUAGAGUCCGGUAGGGGAGCGUGGAAUUCCUGGUGUAGCGGUGAAAUGCGCAGAUAUCAGGAGGAACACCGGCUGGCGAAGGCG
rnacentral:rRNA from 1 species